GAGAGUCUGGGAGGAGGUGGAGGGGCUGGCGCAGGAGGGGCAUGCAGCGCUGCAGUGCUGUGCUGUGGCCUAGUCGGGACUGCAGGACCCAACGGAUUCGCCGCCCUCGCGCUCCCCCGUGAGGCCGCACUGUCCCGCUCCUCCUGCCUGCUGCCCCUCCCCGCCCCAAUGCUUCUCUGGACCACCCUUGCGCACAGUCCUGCACUGCCUGACACCGCCUGCAGAGGGCGCCAGACCCCAGCUCCCGCCCUGAGCCCAGGCUGCGCAGCCACAGCUGGGACCGGAGCCCCGCCUCUUCGGGACCCACUGUGGAGACGUCUGGAGAAUGUGGGGCGCCUCCCACCCUGACAGGACAAGCUGAGGAGGGUGUGGCUCUGUAUCCACACUGACCAGACCCGUUGUGGAGGACGCGCCCGCACUGGCAGCAGUCCAACCUCCUAAGGACCAGACGCUGGAGGAGAUGUUGAAGCCCUGACCCUCAAGGAGUGCCAUCAGGAGGUAUGGGCUUUGAGAGGUGAUGAGGUCAUGAGAUUGGAACACUUGUGAAUGAGAUAAAAGCACUUCUGAGAAAAGACCCGAGAGAUUGUUCUGCCAGCUGUCAUCCAUGCAAGGCUACAACAGAAAUAUGGGCAUCUAUAGAUAAUGAAGCAGUCUCUUGCUAGAUAUCAGAUCUCCCUGGAUCUUGCUUUUGGACUUCUCAGUCUCUAGAACUGCCAGGAAUAGUACAUGCUUUGCUGUUUCAGCCACCCAGUCUGUCAUCAUUUGUUGCAGCAACUUGAACUGAAUAAGGCAGAGCCCAAGUCCUGGUUAAUCCCUGCUUCUACACAUUUCCCCUCAGAAAGAGCUUCUAAUCCAGAACUGACCUCUGCUUUCCAUACACGUGCUUCAGACUCCUUCUGUGAGAGCCCAGACUUUGUAAAAGACUCCUCCCUCAUGGCAACCAGCAUUCUGUGACUCCUGAGGAAUGUCCUCCCUGACUGUAUUGAGUCAAUCAAUCUGAUUUUGAUUCUGGAGUCGCAGGAUCAAGGACUGCAUCAGGCUCCCAGCUUCAUGGGGAGUCUGCUUCUCCCUCUGACCUUCUCCCCUCUCAUGCUCUCUCUCUCUCUCUCACUCUCUCUCUCUCAAAUAAAUAAAUAAAAAUCUUUAAAAAAUCUGAU